rnacentral:lncRNA from 9 species
CAGGGCCCGGGGAGGAGCCAGGACCCCGGGCGGGAGAAAAGAGACUGAGGGGCGUGCGGCACAAAGAGCUUUUUAUUUAAAUUUGUUUAGAGUUUGGCGAAUUUGCAUGAAAAAUGUGUGAGAAAAGCCAGCUCCGGUGACCUCAUCCGCACCUGCCAUUAACGUUCAAUUAGCGGUUGAAUAGAGGCGCCGACGCGACGUGCAGAGAAUCCGGCGGGCCCCGCGGAGCCACGGCUGCGGGCCGGGCCCAGGGUGGGGUGGGAGUGGGGGGGCGGGGGCCGACUCCUGCGAGCCGGAGACGCUCGCCUCGUCCGCACCCCAACUCUCUGAGGGGACGUAGGAACCACAGAGCCCUCGAGUCCAAGGCGGCAUGGGGCGCAGCAGGGCCCGGGGCACCUGGGGAUGCCAGGCUCCCUCCUGGCGCCGAGGAGGGCAGGCUUGCCCCCUCCCCAGGAUAGGAGGUGGAUGGAUGAGCCCCCGUCCUAGCUCAGAUGGGUUCCCUCGCCACCUUCCGGACAAAGUGUCAAGUACAAGUUCAAGUUCAGGGCCAGGCCCGGGGGGGGGGGGGGGGGCGCCAAGCCUUCUCCCGCCGCCUUUGUUCUUGGAGAGAAUCACUCCUAAGUCUCCUCCGGGCGGGGCCCGGCCAACGCCCCCGCCCCGCCCCGUGGUGCCCAACUGGGGCCGCCUCCUCCCGCCCUCGCGGCGCCUGUCCCCUGGUCCCGGCGCCCCCGCUCAGGGCCACCGAAGGGUCUGGGUACUCGGGGAGGGGGGAGGCGCGAUCCGGGUCCGUGGGAGCCUCCCCAGCCCCGCAGUCCCAGCAGCAAACCGAGCGUUGUCGGACGGAUGCUCGCGCGGAGGGCCCCAACCCAGCCAGGUCUGAUGGUUACGGUGUGGACAUGCUGGAUUACAGCAGCGGUAAGCAUCUGCACAACUGCAUUUGCACACCUCCUGGCCAGUACAAUGGAGAGUGGCUCUUUUUCUGUCCCGGCUGGGCCGAAUGGUGGCUUCCAGAAGAGGCAGCUAAGGUUUCUGCCUGCACAGAGGGAGAAAAAAGGUGACCAGCUAGGCCCGCACAACUGUGGCAGUCCCACAAAGGAUAUGAAAGCAGAACAAACAGGCAUACAUUUGGAGAUGCCCACAGAGUCUCACCAGUGAAUUGGUAAAUGCGUUUGCAUCCUGGGGGCUCGCCUGUUAGCCACUCAUCCAUUCCUUCCAACAAACGUGUCUGGGCAUUCCCAGGGCUCUCUUCCCUGGGUGGAAUCCACCAGGAAACACAGUCGAUUUUCUGGACCUGCAUACAGCCACCGGCAGCUCUGAAAAUGAAAGUGUUAGCUAAGCGUGCAGAUUUCGCCAAUCGAAUGUUUGAAAAUGGCUUUGUCUUCAUUCGGCUCUCUCGGUUUUAUUCUGCAUUUUACAAAUAGAAGCCUGGAGCCACAAGCCCGGCUCUGUUGCUCAGCCCUUGCAUGGCUCCUGGCGGGGGUUCAGGAACCCAGGAUAUUUAGCAAAUCGCUGCAUGUUGGGUUUCCUUUACACUGAACGAGGACAGCCUCUGAAAAUGCAAUCUCCAGCUUCUUGCCAAUGGCUGGGUAGAACACUUGGGGUUGUGCUGUUGUGCUGGCGGGUAUGCCUGGCUCAGUUUGGGGGAGGUCUGUGGUGGGUACUGGGUUCUUCUUGAAAGGCGACUGGGAACCCCAGGUCUGAGCAUGAGAACCAGACUGCGGUGGCGGCGUGGGCUGCAAUAAUUCUGGGUUGCGCUUCUUCACUGAACCGCCAAUGGCCAGUGGCCCUAGCUUCUUCCAGUCCCCAACACUGUGCCCCACCAUUGUGCUGGCCCCGGGCCCUCAGAGAUCCCUCCCUGAGCUCUGGCAGCAACAUUACACCGAGAAAACAAGCUGGAAUCUGCUGGAGUUCACUCAAAUACAGCUACUAAUUUUUGGAAUAUUCUACGGGGAAAAAAACUGAGACUCCACUUCUCUGUAUGAUUAAAGAAAGUAAAUGAUGGAGUGAGCCAUUUGUGCAAGGGCAGACAAGGGACCAAUGAGAGUGACUUCAGGAAAAGUGUUUUAAACUAGGAAUGACUGGAAGUUCCCUUGUCUCUAGUUUCUGGCUACACACUGGACUCUGGUGGCCCCCUUUUUUUGGGGGGGGGAUCCAGGCCCUUCUGUAUCGUGGCUUGUGGGCCACCUCCUUCCCUCUUAGGUUCAUUUUGUGGCUGCAGAGUCUGGCCACCUGAUAAAGGAGGGCAGUGGUCUGAGGGCCACCAGGCACCUCUGGGAGGGCUGGGUCGAGGGGUUCCCUCUAGCCCAUUGGGGCAUCCAACAAACCCCUUCUCCAUCGAGAGGCUAUCUCAUGUCAUGAGGCUGAGUGUUGCCUCUUGAAGUUUGAUUUUAUUUGGAGAAAAUUCUGGAAUUCAAAUUAGUUUCUUCUGUAUGUUUGCAUUGAUUAAACUAAACGGCUUUCUAUAUGGUGUGGGUGUGUGCAUUUCCGCAGAAAUCUGUGGACUUCCGGGUGGCCGGCCAUGGCCAAGUGCUUGGAGAAGGCACCCAGGCAUCCUUCGCAAAUAUUACUGAAGUGCAGCUGAAGCAUGGUUGGGGCAGUAGGGGCUUCAAUCCUCUUCUGUCGACACCCCCAUUUUCAGCCUUCUCAUCCGUGUCCUGGGUUCAAUAGCUGCCAUCCCUCUGGGUUCCGACCCAGCUUCCCCAAAAGACCAGGGAGGAGUGGAAUUGAACCAGAUCAGGGCCCAGAAGGUCCUGGGCUGGUUUGCUUAUCCGUAGGCGCAGCCAGGCCUGGGGAGCUGUUUAGGAAACGCUGGGGUUUCCCCCCCCCGGGGGGGGGGGAGGCCCUCUGUGCCAGAUUUUUGCCACAGAGGAGGCUGGGAGCCAGGUCCUCUCCACACUGCGAGGCUUGUCCUCAAACAGCCUACCCUUCCCAACUCUCCCCCUCACACCACACCAUUUCAUUUUGGCACUUCCAGACACGUGGCCCCAUAGGAGUUUCUCUGUCCCUAAGACCGGAGUGCAUGGGACCACCUGCCCUCGAGCUGGGAACGGCUGGAGACGGCUUGUCGGAUUCCUAAAUAAGACUCAGAAAGAGAGUUCAGGCAAGCCAGACUUGGGGAGGGAGCUGCCCCAGGCGUAGGGCGGAGAAGGAAGCGCCUGGGGCAAGGAAGCCUGUUAUUCGACCUCACGACUAGGGUUGAGGCACCCUUGCUUUCUCUUUCCACUUCGUGGGUGGGUACCGGUGGCCCCUGAAAAUUUCAAGCUGCAGAUGCCGCCGCGGACCCCUUGGAGGGCCUGGCGAGGGAUCUAUGGUCCAGUUUUCUGAAACACUUCGGUUCGUUGAAACGAUCCAGACUCUUACCUUAAACCCGCUCCUCUUUGGUCUUCUAGCCGCCUGCUCUGGCCCCAUGAUGCCCAGCACCACGUGGCACGUCCGGAUGCCCCAGCCUGGAGAGUCACGGUCGCACUCCCUUCCCCCACAGCAGCAAGGGGUCAUGCCCCCGUUGUCCGCAACUGGCCCUGGCGCCGCCCUCCGGGGAGGGGGAGAGACGGCCUCAGCUCCCCCAGGGGUGGGGUCUAGGGCAGGCUUCCGAGGGUUCAGAGGUUCUCGCCUUCUCUGCGUGGAGUGGAUGGAAGGCAGUUCCUUCCGUUUCAGGGGCUUCUUCCUGGCGCUCUUUGCCAAGGCCCUCCCUCGCCCACAGCUCAGGUGGAAAUACUGAGGCGGAUGAGUUCAGGUUGGCCAAGCCGCCAGCCACGGACCCUGGGUGUGCUCGCCCAUCCUGGCCCCGCCCCCUGCGCUCCCUGGUACCCACUGGCUCACUCCUGGGCGCUGUACAAUGAGAGGGGUGUUCCUAGCGGUCGCGAGAGAAAAGGGGUUACGAGGCCUUCCAGUUCCCACGCUCCCUCUGUGGAGUUUGCUUUUGCAGAUUCCGUUCCAGUCUGGUCUCCGGUUCCCUGGCUUAUCCUACGGCUGAGCGGAGUACCCGGGUAAAUAGGUAUCACUCUGCAGACUUCGGGUCAGGUCUGAGGGUCACGUGCAUUUGUUCUGCCUCCUCCAGGCACACAUUUCCAGACAGACCGGCAGAGGGCGGCCUGGGCCGGGGACGAGCGUGUUUGGAGGCCUCUCCUGAGUUCUGGGCGCCACACUGUGGGGCUCGGUGGUUCAGAUCUACACCUGACUCCCCCGUGUCCCAUACAGGCAAAGUCGCACAGACAGAGCCACGGAGAGGGGCGGCUGAAGGUGGAUGGGCGGGGCGGCAGCGCCACCUGCAGCGGGACCUGUGCGGAUGCAGGCCACUGGACGCCCAGGCCGACCCUCCAAUCUGUAACCCUGGGAGCUGAGAAAAUCAUUAUUACUUGACCUGUGUAGUGUGUAUGUGCGCGCACCUAAGUGUGCAGAGGCAGGGAAGGCAUGCACGCGCAGAUGGGAGGGCAGGCGGGGGAAAUGGGGGAUGGGGAAGCUCCAAACACUUGACCCUUCUAAUUUCUAGGCUGGGGUUUUCUAGAACAUUUAGUCCAAGCACCUCCUUUUAAUAGUAGGAAACUGAGGUCCACAUAGGAAAGAGACUUAUCCAAGGUCCUGCAGCAAUUAGAUAGAUACGGUGACACAGGUGGCACAGUCCCUCGGCUGUGUUCUGAGCUUCAGUUUCUUCCACAAUAAGCAUUGAAAUGCUACUAAAUCUGUAGUUUGGGGGGGCAGGCACAUCUGUAGGGAUAUGUUCUUGUCUGGGAAGCAGCAUGUAGCCGCCCGAGGAUGAGUCUGUGUCCAGGCAAGGGCGCCUGUAUGAGUGUGGCAGGGCCUGUGGGUAUUCACCCAUGAAGGGGUCCAUGGGCCUGCCUGCUGUGUGGAGUUGUGCCUGUUGUGCAUGUUGAAGGGAUGUGUGUGGAGGAGGGAAGGGGUAUUUGUGUAUGUGCUUGGGGUGUGUGUGUGUGUGUGUGUGUGUGUGUGUGUGUGUGAAAAGGGGUAAUUGUGAAGAACUGCAUCCUCAGGCAUCCUCAGGAGGGGCAGGUGUGAGUGAGUGUGUGUGUACUCAUGCCUCAUGCGUCAGCACUCUGCUGCCCCCCCCCCCCCCCCCGCCCUCCCCAUGCUCUGGAAUC